rnacentral:rRNA from 1 species
GUCAGCCGCCGCGGUAACACCGGCGGCCCGAGUGGUGAUCGUGAUUAUUGGGUCUAAAGGGUCCGUAGCCGGUUGGUCAGUCCUCCGGGAAAUCUGAUAGCUCAACUAUUAGGCUUUCGGGGGAUACUGCCAGACUUGGAACCGGGAGAGGUAAGAGGUACUACAGGGGUAGGAGUGAAAUCUUGUAAUCCCUGUGGGACCACCUGUGGCGAAGGCGUCUUACCAGAACGGGUUCGACGGUGAGGGACGAAGCUGGGGGCACGAACCGGAUUAGAUACCCGGGUAGUCCCAGCCGUAAACGAUGCUCGCUAGGUGUCAGGCAUGGCGCGACCGUGUCUGGUGCCGCAGGGAAGCCGUGAAGCGAGCCACCUGGGAAGUACGGCCGCAAGGCUGAAACUUAAAGGAAUUGGCGGGGGAGCACAACAACGGGUGGAGCCUGCGGUUUAAUUGGACUCAACGCCGGACAACUCACCGGGGGCGACAGCAAUAUGUAGGCCAAGCUGAAGACUUCGCCUGAAUCGCUGAGGGGUGGUGCAUGG